UAUUUUUCUAAUAUAACAAGUAUAAUUGGCUUCCAACCAGUAAGUCUGGAACCUCCAGGAAAAAUAA
rnacentral:tRNA from 1 species